rnacentral:ncRNA from 2 species
AACAUUUUUGGCGAUGGUAUUCGCCCUAAACCGCCAGUUUUGGCUAAUAAUACCUACUAAUAA